UCUUAGAUUCCCAUUAUCUCCUGAGAAGCCU
rnacentral:piRNA from 1 species